AGCAGCUACCAUUUUUGGGGAAAGCCAUAACUCCCUCUGUGGGAAAGGAUCCAGGGCAGGCCAACUCAGAGGCUCUGGCCUCAGUUUCCCCAUCGUCACCACCAUGGCAUUUAUGGGGUCUGAAUAACUUCAGCUACUGAUUCAACAAGUAUCAGUUGGGUGCUUGCUGUGUGCCAGGCACUGAGCUGGCUGCUCGGGGGCACAGUCGGGUGAGAGCUAAGCCCUGUUCUUCAGGACUGACUUUCCAGCAGAAGGCAAUCUCUUGAAUCUGAAAUGGACCGAAAAGGAUGUCUGAGCACCAAAACCAGCAUCCCAGUGUCUACACCAAGCACCUCACUCUUAGGAUUAAAAAAAAUUGAAUAGAAUCUUGCAGAUCUGUGGGACAAUAACAAAGGACUUCACCUUGGUGUUAUCAGAGUUUCAGAAGAGAAGAAAGGAACUUCCCUGGAGGUCCAGUGUCUAAGGCUAUCUGCUCCCAGUGCAGGGGGCCUGGGUUUGAUCCCAGGUCAGGGAACUAGAUCCCUCAUGCCACAACUAAGGCCUGGUACAGCUAAAUAAAUAAAUUAAAUAUUUCUUAAAAGAAGUAGAGGAGAAAGUGUAGGAUCAAAAAAAUGUUCAAGGAAAUAAUAUUUGGUCAUGUUCCAAAUUUGGUGAAAGACAUAAAAAUAUAGAUAUAAGGAGUCAAGUAAAUCCUAAACAGGAUAAAUUCAAAGAGAGCCACAGGAAGAUGCCUCAUAUUUAAACAUUUAAAAAACAAAGACAAAGAAAAAAGGUUCAAAGCAGCAGAGAGAAAUGACGCAUACUUACAUAGAAAUACUAACUUGGAUCACAGCAGAUUUCUCGCCUGAAGCCAUGGAAGCAGGAGGGAAGUGGCACAACAUUUUUCCAGUGCUGAACAAAAUGAACUGUAUCCAGUGAAGCUAUCUUGCAGGAGUGAAGGGGGAAAUAAAGACAUUCUCAUAUGAAUUGAAUCUAAGAGAGUUUCUUGCUAGCAGACUUGCCACAGAUGAAUGGCUAAAGAACAGUCUCUCAUCAGAAAGAAAAUCUUCAUCACAGAAGAAGUCUGAUGUCUUUAGAAAUGAAAGAACAAUGGAAAGGGUAAAAAUAGAACCUAUCCUUCACCUUGCGAUUUUAAACCAUAUUUUGCGGUGGAAGCAAAAUUUAUAAUGCCAUCUGAUGUGGUGGUAUUGGAAGGCAGAGAUAUUGAAUUAUAUCCUCCACACCGAGAAGGAACGUUGAGACAGAAAAAUGAAGUAGGCAACUCUGUAAAGUGCAAUUAUGAAGUUUAUUGUGAGUAAUAUGUA